UUCAAGGUCCUCCUGCCUCAGCCUCCUGAGCAGCUGGGGCUCCGGCGGGUGCCUGUGUGCCCAGCUCUGUCAGCCUAUUUCUUAAGCACAAUUUUCUCUUCCAGGCUUAACCAACCACUCCAGGGCUCUGACUUAUCUAUUUCCAAAACACUCUAAUUAUUUAUGAUUUCAUGGAAAAGCCUAAAUUCUCCAUGCUCCAGAGGCACACUCUCAUGACCUCCUUCCCUGCAUUUUCUUACAUUUCAUUGAUUGGAGUCAGUCUCUUUGGGUUAUUCAGAAACAGUUUAUAAAACACGGGAACAUAAGAGAACCUUGCAAAUUCCACGGCUCGCGGGGAGGUGGUUUGAUUAGCUUGAAGGACACACUUAAAAUGCUCAUAGUAAGUCACUUCAGAAUGGCUCACGGGGAGAGUCGACUCAGUCUCUCCCUCCUCCACUUGGGUGAUAUUCAGUGUGAGUCAGAAGGGUCGGGAAGGUAGAGGACAAGAAAAUCCAUGGCACGCCAUUACCUUCUAUCACAACUCCCUUCCCACCGUUGGCUGCAAAGUUGGAAAACAUGACAACAUAUGUACAAUAGACAAUUCGUUGAUAUUACACACUGUCAAAUAAUGCCUGCUUUCUAGACUUCACAGCCAACCUGGGUUUAAGAAAAUUGGAUCCUUUAAUCUGAAAUGGAGUCGACCACCACUCUUCCCACUGUUUCUGCCCUGUCUUGGAGGGUUUUGAUGCAGAGUAUCAUCCAGAAGGGAAAACUAUGUCAGAAACCACUAAAUAUUUGAACCAAGCACAGCAUGUACAGUUAACACCCCACACCGAGUGGCAAACUCAGAGCACUCACCCCAAGUACUCCUGCAAUUCUAAUCCAUCUGAAAGGUUGAGCAUUAUAAUUUACUCUUUUAUUUGUUUGUUUGGGAUACCAGGGAGUGAAUCCAGGAGCAUUUAAUCACUGAGCCACAUCCCCACCCCUUUUUAUUUUUUAUUUUGAGAUAGGGUCUCGCUCAAGUUGCUUAGGGCCUUGCUAAAUCGCUGAGGCUGACUUUGAACUUAGGAUCCUCUUGCUUCAGCCUCCCAAGCAGCCGGAAUUACAGGCAUGUACCACCAUGCCUGGCAUAUUUUACUUUUUUAUAAAAAGGAAAACUAGGGUUCUUAGCAAACUGAGUAACUUCCUCAAGGUUCCAAGGUCAGUAAUUCAUAGAUUCUGGUCUCAAACCUGGGCCCCAAGGCUGAAAAUGUCAGGCUUUUUUGACUAUAAGAAACAUUUGGCAAGCCACGCCUACUAACAGAAUCUGGCUGCCUGCCUGUUAUCACACCACCUGUGAACUAAGACUGAUUUUUGUAUUUUUCUAAAUGGUUGGUGGAGGGGACAAAUGAAGAAUAUGCAACUCAUGAAAAUAAUACAGAACCCAAAUUCCAGGGUCCAUAAAUAAAGUUUCCUUAGAGCACAGCUGAGUAUCACCCAGCAGGAGAGCCUGGAAUAUAUACUGUCUGGCCCUUCAGAGGAACAGCUCCCAGCCCCUCACUGCACUGGAAGUGCUGUCAGUCAUCGAGUACUUAAAGGACUAGCAGAGCUGCUGGGAACUGUGCUGUCCUUUAAGAGACCCCUGGGAAAUGCAGAAAGGCGUUUCCAGUACAGAUCGAUUGAGGUCCCUCACAGGUCUGUUGCAGGAGAACAGAACACGGAUUUUGGUAAAGGGACAGGGUUUUAUAGGUCUUUGAGAACAAGUCCUAUAGUAGGGGCUCACAGGAGGAGGGAAGGCUGCCUCCUCAGACUGUGGCCCCCAGGGUGGCAGGGUGAAUGGCCAGCUGGGAUCCAGGGCUCAGCUCAGUCAAACCACUACCAAAAGAAAAGAGAAUUCCUGGCCUGUGAUUGAAAUGUCACUCUGCCCGUACCCACAGGCCUCGGCUUCUACAGAUUGCUGCCCGCCAGACUCUGCUCCCCCUGUAGGGUGAGGGGACUUGCAGUGGGGUCCCACUGCAAACCAGCCUCCCCUCCCCCACGGCCUCUCUCAGGCACUCUUGGAGAACUAACCAGGCUACUGAGAUGUCUCCCCAUUUCCCAUCCUGUUUCCUUUAGUGUACAAUCCAUCCAUGUGGGAAAGAGGAGCUGGAAGCGUUGCCCACGUUAAAUGGUACCAACGUGGCCCUCUGUGGCCACCUGCUGGAAGUUUCACAUGCAAAUAAGGAGCUCUAGGAGAAACAGGGUGGUAGAGGGUGGUGGGGUCAUAGGUCACUCUCUGCGUCUAAAGCACAAGGUAACAGAAACACUGGAUGGAAAGAAUCCAGAUAAGGGGGGUUGGGGAUAAGUGGAUAUUAAAUGACAUUUUUCAGUGUCAUGGGCUUGACUCACUUGUGUUUUAAGGAAGCGUUUCUGUUUAUGAGUCCUGCUAAAUAACAUAUCAAGUUCUUUUAUGAGUGCUUUCCUGCAAAUUAGGCUGGAAAGAAAAUAUUGUUACUUUGUAGCAAAUGUGUGCAAGUUGCAUUGUUGAAAGAUAAACGAUGGAUUUGAUCCUGUGUCUGAAACUAAGCGGGUCCUGGCGUCUGCAACAGAAACCAUGCAGAAAGCUUGCAACCCUUCAGCUGCAUGGAGAGGGAAGUGACUAAGUGGGAGAAAACAAAUCUCAA
rnacentral:lncRNA from 1 species